rnacentral:rRNA from 1 species
GACGUAGGUGGCGAACGAUAUCCGGAAGUAUUGGGCGUAAAGGGAGCGCAGAUGGUCUGACAAGUUACCGGUGGUAAAUCGAGGCUCAACCUCGUGGAAACUGGUAAUACUGUCAGGCUCGAGUGCAGGAGAGGUUAACGGAACUCCCGGUGGAGCGGUAAAAUGCGUAGAUAUCAGGAGGAACACCUGCGGUGUAGACGGCUUACUGGACCAUAACUGACGCUGAGGCACGAAAGCGUGGGUAGCAAACAGG